GAGUCAUGUUAUCAAGCAUACCUGAAACCUCCAAUUUCCACCUCACUGUUAAACCCUAGACUUUCACGGCUCCCGCCACAACACUCCCUAGAAGCUCAAAGCUCAGCCAGAACAAUGGCGAAUCGGCGAUGCAUUCAAACACUCACCCGUCAUUUAACAUAUCUUCUAUCUCCAAGCCCAUCUUCUCUCCAUUCUCUCACUUCCACUUCCCCUCAGACCCUAAUCCCAGCUCUCCUCAAUUCCCUUAACACGCUAACUCCAUCUCCCAGAUGCCCCCACGGUAACACUAAUAUUUUAUCUUUCCACCGGCAUUUCUGUUCCAGCCGAUCGAACAAUAGCGAUGACGACGAGGAUGGAAGUGAAGAAGAAACUGAUGCUGACUAUGAUGAUGAUGAUGUGGAGGGUUUGGAGUCGAAU
rnacentral:lncRNA from 1 species